rnacentral:guide_RNA from 1 species
AUAUAUAACAACAUAAAUAUCAUGUGCUGU